UGGUAGCUCAGUUGGUAGAGCAGUAGACUGAAAAUCUACGUGUCGGUGGUUCAAUUCCGCCCC
rnacentral:tRNA from 1 species